rnacentral:rRNA from 1 species
UACAGGGGGGGCAAGCGUUGUUCGGAAUUACUGGGCGUAAAGGGCUCGUAGGUGGUCAACUAAGUCGGACGUGAAAUCCCUCGGCUUAACCGGGGAACUGCGUCCGAUACUGGAUGACUUGAGUUCGGGAGAGGGAUGCGGAAUUCCAGGUGUAGCGGUGAAAUGCGUAGAUAUCUGGAGGAACACCGGUGGCGAAGGCGGCAUCCUGGACCGACACUGACGCUGAGGAGCGAAAGCCAGGGGAGCAAACGGG